ACGCUCGACACCUACGGGAUGCAGCAGUCGGGAAUAUUGCGCAAUGGAGGGAACUCUGACGCAGUGACGCCGCGUAUAGGAAGAAGGUUUUCGGAUUGUAAACUAUUUUAGACAGGGAAGAAUAAAGACAGUACCUGUAGAAUAAGCUCCGGCUAACUACGUGCCAGCAGCCACGGUAAUCUGAGCGGGCUGGCAAGGC
rnacentral:rRNA from 1 species